rnacentral:lncRNA from 1 species
AUAUAAAGUUUAUUAAUACGGAAACAAAAAGUAAAAAUAGAACCAGGAAUAUAGUGUCUCAUUCUGCAGUAGUUCUCCUCAUGACCAGUGCACAGCAGUGAGGGACUUUUACAUCACAACAACGCAAAGGUCAUUAAGGGGAGAUCCUUCAGAACUAGCUACAGAUACAUGAGAUAACUCCAAUAGUGAUUCUCCUCAUGAUUAAUGCACAGCAGCAAGGGUUGACAUUGCUACUGGGCAAUAUUCAUCAAGGGACGGUGCUCUAGAACUCACUAUAGAGAAAAUAUAAAGUUCAAUUUACAAGUAGUAGAGGGAGAUAAAUCCCAUUAAUACUUUUCAUAUUUCUUAAUGAAUAUGCAUAAUUCUGAUAAUAAAUUCUCAUCUUCAUUAUUCAUUAACCAUAUCAGUUUUUGGUUAAGGUCAAGAUUUUUAAAAUUCUUGCAGCAAUUAUUUAUCAUUGUUAUCAUGUCUUUCCUUUGGUCCGAUAAACUAUCACAGUUGAAAAGAAAAUGUGUUUCAUCUUCGACCUCAUUACUACAACAUCUCUUACAAAUUCUAUUGUGUCGGGGAGUAUUACUAUAUCUACCUCUCUCUAUAAGUAAAUGGUGAGCAGAUAUGCGAAAUCUUGUUAAACUCCGUCUAUCUUCAAAUUUUUUAACAAUAUUAAGAUAUUUUUCACAACCAAAAUUUGAUUUAAAGGUAACAUAUGUGCAUAGUUUUCCUUCUGAGUGAGUUUUGAGAUUUUUUUCCCAAUCUUUCAACAUGGCAUUUCUUAGUUUUCCGUUGUCAAUUGGUUUAGCCGUGUCUGAGGAUAUUUGAUAAUUAUUAAUCAGUGAAAGAAGUUUUUCAGAUGACAUAUACCAAGACGGUUUCUUUGACUCAUACAAUUUUUUUG